rnacentral:lncRNA from 1 species
CCGGGCUACGACAGGACUCUGAAUUGUGCUGCAAGAGCCCUCCUGGAGCCUCAGAAAUGCAACCCACAAAGGAAAACCCAACAAUGGGAAAUAGCGGCCAACGAAGGCAGCCCGACGCCUAACGACAACACUCCAGAGAAAGGAGACCGACAGCCGACCCGCGCCGCGGCCUCAGCCGGCUCUGAGGGGCGCGGAGGCCGCCGCCCCGCCCCGCCCCGCCCGCGGUUCGCGCUGCCCUCGAGCGCCCCCGCGCGCAGCCGCCGGGCGCCCGCCCGGAGGAGGGCGGCGGGCAGCGGGCAGGUGCGCGGCGGCGGCUGCGGCGUGAGGCAGCGUUGGGGCCGCGUCUGCCCGCCGCCCGCCCGCCCGCCCUGCCGGCCGCUCCCUGCCGCCCCCGCGGCGCGCCUCUCCUCUUCUCUCCUCGUCCGCCGCGCCCUCCCGGCGGUCGGCAAGGCGCAGCCCACCCCGGCGCCCGUCGGCGGGUCCGCGCCUGGCGCUCGCCUCCCCUCCGCGGCACGGCAGCCCCGCUCAGCCCGGCCACCAUGGCGCGCGGGAGGUAAGCGAGCUCCUUCACCUCUCCUCCGCGGAGCUGCGCGGCCGCCGGCUCUCGCCCUCCCGCCGCUGCGACACCCGCGCGGGCAGAGGGCGGCGGGCGACUCCGCCGCGGCCGGAGGAAAAGUUGCGCCGCGGAGCGCGCGGUCCUGGGCGGCCGCCGGCGGGGCGGGUGUACUUCCGGGUUCACACCUUUUUUUCCCUUCGCCUUCGGGCCGCCGCCGCCCGGCACCUGCUUGGCGGCUCCCUCCCGGGCGGGGCGGGGUGUGGCGUGGCGGCGCCGCCCGCCGGGAAUUGGGAACGGCGACCGCCGAUGGACGGCGCCUCGCGCCGGGGGCGGCCGGGCUCGGCGGGGCGCUGCGGCUGCACGACGCCAGGGGGCGGCCCUGCCGCGGCAUCGGGGGGGGGGGAGGCCGAGCGGGGAGCGGCGUGCGCGCGGUGCGGGGCCUGAGUGCGGGCGGCGGAGGGGCCGCCAUCUUGAAUGGCUCCCACCGCUCCGCGGGCGGCACGGGGUCGGGGCUGCGGGGGGGAGGCGCGGAAAGGGCGGGCUGGGCAGGUAACGGUCCCGGCGCGAACAGAUAA